rnacentral:lncRNA from 1 species
AUGUCUCAGGUGGGUGGUGCUCAAGAGAUGUGCCAGGCUGCACGUGCAGCUGAUCUGCUCCAGAUUUCCAGGAUGGACAAGGAGAAGGCCUAUGGCAAAGCUGCAUCUGAAGGUUUGCUCUGGGAUUCUUGUGGCUUGGAACCACCAGGCUGGAUGCUUCACUUUCUCUCUGGCAGCAGUAUAGCUGUGGCUCUGGGGAAGAGUUUUGUACCUCCGAAGUGGGUGUUCCUGGUUCGCCCUGAGGCUCCUGAGUGAGUGAUGGGCAUCUUAAGAUGCAAAACCUCAUGAAGAAGAGUUCACAACCGGGUACGCCGCGAGAGGACCAGCUCUUUGGAGAUGAAAUGCAGCACAUGUUAAGUCAUGGGUUCAAGUCAAACAUGCUCUAACGGACACAUAGUGGAACCAAAGGCAUAGUUUAGCAGCAGGUCUUCCGGAAAACAAGCAACCAACUCAAGCAAAACCCUGACUUGCUAAGACAGAAGGUGGGAGUGGGAGCAGCUUUGACAAGGUCAGGUUAUUCUACAUAUUGCGUUUGUGUAAAUUAGAGCAAGAGCCCCCUGCUGGGUGGAUGUGGCACUGCUAGACCAUGGCUUGGCAGGUCCAAGGCAACUUUCUUGACAGAAAAAAUGCCUUUGGGGAUGGAUUCCGCUGAGUGCCAGAGCACACGAUUUGGUGAGGUGAGGAUUUCAGCCCUCAUUCACCCCAUCUGCUGGGUGCCAUUGUGCAGUGUGCACGCCGUACAACUCUACAUGACAGUCCUGAGCUUUUAGCUGACUGUGUGCUCGGCACUACCAGCAAGAAAAUGUAGAUUGUGCAUUUCAUGAAGGUGAGGGCUAGGUCAGGGCUCUUUACCCCUGUGUCUCCUGGCACUAAAUACAGUGCUUGGUACAGAGCAGGCAUUCAGAAAUGCUUGUUGAAAAAGUGGAUGAAUGAAUUGUAAAUGUAUCAUAGAUGGUCUGGCAUGCCACAGUCAAUAAGUGUUUGCCAAACGAAUGAAUGACUACUCCUGUCAAGUCUUCUGUGAACUUCCGUGGCACCACAGAAGGAGAGGCAGUAGAGCAUACAAGCUUGAACAAGCCUAUUUGGAUUAAAUCCCAGUCUUCUACUGAUUAGCUGUGUAAUCUUGGGCAAGUUACUGCUACUUUCUGUGCCUCUGUUUCAUCUUCUGUAAAAUGGGGGCAAUUAAUAGGGCUUACUGUCAGAGGGCUCUUAUGUAGAUCAAUGUACCCCUCAAUCAUGUUAGCUACCUGUUGUUAUCAUGACCAGAGAUGAUAGGUCCCCAAUGCUCUGUGCUGGUCAGACCUCCUGGAGAGCUGUGUUGCCUUCUGGGUGCCGUCUUCUAGAAGAGACAAUGACAGCUGCCUUGACCAUGAAAGCCCCACAGGAACUUCCUUAUAAAGAACUAGUGAAUGAAUAAAGUGUGUCCCACAAAAGUUGUUCAGAGUAGGGGUAAUUUAGGAUGGAUAAUAUAAUAUCUAGUAAGCUCUUUUUUUUUUUUCUAGUCUAGGCCCUGUAGCGUAAACUUUUUUACAUAAACUCACUAAUUAAAAAGCUCCACUUUGACCCCAGUAGCCCCUCAGUGAUUGGAGGGGAGAGACCCACAGUCCCAGGGAUGAGCUCUCCUUGGAUUUAUCCAAUCUCAUACAGAUUGGGAGCCAUUCCCCCAGGGAUUGGUUCAGAGGUGGACAGGUGACCCGUUUUGGACCAAUGAGAUGAGAGAUGUUGGCUGGAGGGUUGUGGGAGAAGCUACCUGGACAUGAUGCCUGCCUGCCUCCUUGUGAGAAGGCCGUCCUGGAAGCCUCCCAAUAGCUGCCUUGUCUCCAUGGAAGGUUCCAGCCUUGGUUUGGAGCAGCUCCCCUCGACGACAGGGAGGGCAGUUGGCCAUCUGGGAUGAUGCUGCCACCUCUGACACAGCUCUCCUGCUGGCCUCGUCCAUCACCUGGACCAUUGAAGUCCCGCUGAGGUUUUAGCUAGCUCGAGCUCAGUUUUCUGUUAUCUUCUGGAGGAUGGAUGGCUCCUCACUGGUACCCUGGCUCUUCAUUUCUUCCUUUUCCAGUCUGCUCCUUAUGGUAUGAACCUUAUACCUUGAAUUUGGCAGGGCUCAGUGUUUGGAAGCUUUAAAGCCUCUCUCAUUUCUUGCAUCUCAUUUCUUCCUCAGAGCCACCUGUCCCCUGAGUCUGUGCAUGCGUACCUAAGUAGCAGGGCUGAGGAAUGCAGAGACAAAGGGCUCCAGAAGAUAGAAGGGGAAAGCAUGGGUUAAGAUCUUUAAAUGUAGUAGCUGCUGCACUGUGUGAGGCACAGUACUAAGAGUUUUACCUGUGUUGCUUUUCACUUUUCCAGCCCUGUGGCAAAUACUGUGGCUAUUGCCAUUCACAGAUGAGGAAACCGAGACCCCAGGUUGGUCUGUCACCCCUCGGAGUCACACAUGUGGUAAGCAGCCUCAUUUUGUGUUGACCCCACAGAGCUGAUGGCUCCUAAUCAGGAGCU